GCCUCACUUAAGGAGAAACAGUAGAGGUGAUGGUGUCUCAUUUUAGCAACCCAAAUUUGUUUUUACAGCCAAUCCAUAAUUUUGCAAUGGCAAAUUUAACAUUCAUAAACUCAAUUCUCUAACUUCAUCCAAAACACUGAAUUAACAAAACAACUUGUAACUUUCUAGAUAAAAGGCACAGUCAUUUAAAGCUAAGAUGGAUGGAUGGAUGGAUGGAUGGAUGGAUGGAUGGAUGGAUGCAGCCUUAAAAUAAAUGUCUCUGAAAAACUCAGUGAAUUCAGCAGUCCACCUUCUUGCUGUGGCUGGGGUUCAGCUGUGUUUAGUGAGUGGAAGAGAGUCAACACAUUAAAAUGACUACACAUCAGCUGGACUGAAACAGGCUCACUGCACCAGGUACUGCGGAAUCCCUGGCAGGACAUUUAUCAAGACAACGGCGUGAUGCUUUACAGGGCCAACACAACUCUUCAGCAAGUAAGCCAUAAGAAAUUCAAAAACUAUAUAAUGUACAAGUUCUGCAGAAGAAGCUCACUUGGUAUUCUCAGUAUGGAUAUCAUGGCAGAUGCUGCAAAGAGACUGAAGAAGACUUUGUCGGAGGAAGCGGGGAAGAGAAAAAGAACAGACAAGAGUAAAUAUUCUGUGGCAAGCUAGCCAGCAACUAACGCAACAGCACUUACAGUAACUUUACUAAUGUCUGUGUGUAUGUGUGUGUUAUUAAGUAAGUUUGAGAUUUAUAGCUAGUGGCAAGUAACCAAACAACAUUAUGUAACAUUGUUAGGUAGAGAUGCAAAAUCUCACAAAAAAGCUAAUCUUACAAUAUGUUGUUUUAAUUGUUGUGGCCAGUCAGUAUAUCGUACAAUGGCUGCUUACAGUCUUGUUUAAAUAUAUAGUACUCCAUGUUCAUAUAUCUUAUUUGUAUUGGAAUAUGGUUAAACACAAACGGUGACACAUUUACAUGUUUGGCCUAUCUACACACAUUCAGAGAAGUUAAUCGGGCUGUCAGGUUAAAUCAUUUAAAAUAAACACACAUAUAACAUUCCAUGACUAAACAUAAACAACACAGUGGUGAGAUGUCAUCAGUGUAACGCUAGUAGUCCAACCGCCACACAUUUCAGCCUUAUUUAACUGCUGCACUUGAUGCCACCUGUAUUAUUCUAUGCAAUUCUAUUUUCUCAAUACUCAACAAAGGCCUGCUCCUCUUUGCAAACCAUCAGCUUAUAUCCUGUAAAUACUGCAAACAGUCUCUGUUUUAACAAUGACCUAUUCUUCUAUCUAGUG